rnacentral:lncRNA from 1 species
UGGGAGGAUCACUUGAGCCUGGGAAGUGGAGCCUGCAGUGAGCUGUGAUCAUACCGCUGCACGCCAGGAUCAAUUACAGAAUGAGACCAUGUCUCAAAAAAAAAAAAAUAAAUAAAUAAGGUAAGGUUUAGCAGGUUAGGUAAAAUAUAUUUUAUGUGAGAAAGUUAAAUAAUCUACCCCAAAUCAUAAAACUACAGAAUGGCAAAUACGAAAUGUAGAACUAAAUUAUUAACUCCAAACCCAGAGCCUUCCCUCAAAAUUCUGGCUAGAAAUGGCAAUGCUUAGAUGAAUAACUUCUGUUUCCUCUUCAAACAUUAAUAUUCCAGUAUGCCUGGAGUGGGAGGAACAUUACACUAUACUUCUUUCUCCUCCUUCAUUAGUGAAGGUCACUGGAAUAGGUUCAUUACACUCAAGCAAAGGCCUGGGGAAAUGAUAGAAUUACCUCUGUUGACCCAGAAGAGCACCAAAAGCACCAGUGUGCAGAAAUCAGAGACCUCAAGCUAAAAGUCAUAAAAGGACAAGAACCUGGAAGUCGUCGAACUGUGGAAGCAAAAGACCUGUAAUGCUCCUGCUUGCCGAGCUGUGAGCAGUGGUAGUAAAAGAGCAGUAACAUUCUCUCCUGCUUGCCAAACAGGAGAGAAGCCACUGGCACCACUCCCUCCCACUCACUGAACUAUAGAAGAGAAAAAAUUGAAACACCAAAAUUGGGGAAAUGCGACUUUUGCGAAAAUUUGAAAGUGCAUGCUUCACAGAAGGAAGGGGGAGCUGGUCUAUUAUGUCUCACUAUAACAAGACUAAAAUUUUGCAAAUAAAUUGUUCCUGCCAUAAUUUAUCCUUGGUAGAAAUGAAGAAAUUGGAGAGAGAAAAAAUUGGAUUCUAGGUCCUGACCAUUGUUUUUGAAUUUUUAUUAUUUUCCUACAAUUUAGGCUAAAUUCUGAACUAUUUGCUGGCUACAAGAGGCCUCUAAAAAAGAGCUGGGUUUUAGUUUUCUUCAUGCUCUUUAAAAACUGGCAUAUAAUGGUGUGUAUCUCUCGUUGUUUUACUUCUAAGAAACUGAAGGCAUGAUAUUCUGAAGACUAGAGGUGAUUCAAUAGCCUAUGAAUCUUCUUCAUUUGGAACCCCACUGGGCCUGAUCUGUUUCCCAUCACCAAUGCACUUCUGCUAAACCUAUAUCCUAUCAAGUACUCUCCCUAAAUGCUCAGAGACCAUAACAGAAGAUGAGGGUGUGUGAGAUUAUAAAAGCCAAAUUAGUGGAGUGGAAUCUGGAGGCUAAAGCAACUCCAUCUUGGAUGCUAAUCUGCCAUGUUGGCUUCUGAUUAACCCCAGUUCUGGAGGGCCUCUGAGGUUUCCAAUUUAUCUACUGUCCCUUGUGUAAGAACAAGUACUUAUCAUAAAUCCUGCUAUUAGGGCAAAUUUCUACCCAUUCCCUCUGAAGCAUGUGCACCUCUCCUCUACAUGUAAUCUCCCCUACAAUAGAUAAACCCCUCUGGGUCUGGGGGCUAAUAGUGUGGGAACCCAUCAUCUUGCCUCACUGCUGCACAAGCCACAGGUGUGGCUUCUGUUUCUAAGUCCCUAUUAAAUGUUUCUAGAUACCAGAUGUAUCAACCUCUUUCUUCAGCCUCUCAGCUUCCUGGGACUUUGGGGUUGGUUUGCAUAGACCUACCCACCAAAAAACUCUCACAGAGUCAGUCUUAAAUACAUACAGAGCACGGUUGGGAAAAUUCCAUGAAUAUUUAUAGGGGAAGUCAUGUGCUUGAAAAUUGGAUAAACUUGUAUGUAACAUACAUUCCAUUUUGACCUGGGGGUGAGGUUUCAGCUGGGAUUCGACUGUUUAUGUCAAAAGGUAAACUCUAGGGCAAAAAGAAUUUGGACAUAGUCUCUGCAAGCUGACUGAAACUGGCUUAAGAUCUAUGGUCACUUAUCAAUAAAGAAUGUGAUAAAAAC